GCCGGAGGUAGGGUCCAGC
rnacentral:snRNA from 1 species